AAAGGACAAUUGAUCGCGCUAUCAAAAAAUCGAUGUGAAGUUUAUUUAAAUAAAUAAGUGUGUAUGUGGGCAGCUACAUUUAAAGACAGAAAGGACAUACAUACAUAUAUCGCGGCUUGUCUUUUUCUUUGAACUGUAUUCGGCCAUACAUAUGUACAUAUGUAUGUAUGUACAAUUGAUUCCGCUUCUUCAACACAGCACGACGCUUGCCAUUUCAUAAUUGCAGCCAAAGAAGUAGGACGUGUAGGAGGUUUGUUUAAGUGAUAGCCUAAAUAAAUAGCCUAAACAUAAAAAAAUACAUACAAAGUUAAAUUUAAAUUAUCAAAUUAUUUCACCCGUACUUCGUUUUCGUAGAAUCCAACAAAAUAGCGCGCGCGUUCACACGCAUAUAUAUACAUACAUAUGCACGCAGUGGAUAAAAAGAAAUCUAACUAAAGUGAAGUUUGUAAUAAUUGUAAAGUGGCUUAAAUUUUUCGGUUCUCAGAAACGUAUGUAGUACAUACUAUGUACAUAUGUACAUUCAAGUGCAGCUACACACACAUACAUACAUAUACCACAGCGUGCGUUUACCGUUGCUUGGUCGCCAACAAAGUUGAGCUUGCCUUAGCGAACACACACAUGUACAUUUGCUGUAACACAUCUACCCACACACAGCGUGCGUUUACCGUUCCUGGCAAAGUCAUGGAACGAAGCGUAUUAAACUUGAUUACAUCUUCGAGGUUCCUGUUGCGAUCCAAACAAAAAGUGGAAACUGCUCGAUUUUGACGAAACUUGGCUGAAAAACGUAAUUAAUGAGGCAGAUCUCAGACUGGAAUCUUGUCUUAGAAAAAUGGAACAAAACCCAUCUGAGCUGAGUUUUUGAAAGCAUGCCGGGCGUUGGAAUUGGUUCAAAUCUUUUACCAAAGCAGAGACUAUUGAUAACCUACAAAACAAAUUAUUGUUUAGCUAUUAAGGUUGGUAAUACUCUAAAACUGUUUAAAGUACUUUUUUUCGUUUAUGAAUUGACAACUGUGUAUGUAGCCUGUAAUAACCAUUUGCAGGCAUAUGAAUGCGGAAAAAUUAAAAAUGUAUUAGUUCUUAAGAACAUUGAAGAGUUUUCAAGCCAUCCAAUGCACAUGUAUGAUGUAAAUGCUAAAAAAUAUGUUGUAUACAGAUCUCUGUAAAAUAAAUGUAAG